GCAAAGUGAACGCCAGCUUUUUGACGAGCACACAGUGGAGGAGCCCUGGUGUUGAAUAACCACCAGUAACAACCCUGAUGGAGGCAGCGUGGGAUCGGUGGGUAAGAGGGGGAUGCUCUUCCUCCUCUGGUGAAAAGCGAACCAGCACAGGGGUCAUAACGUGUCAACAAGGACGCACUAAUAAUAGACCAGGCCCCUCGUCUAUAAUUAGCUUACUACUGGCGCUCCCUAAAUCAUAAUAGUAUUCAGCAGCUCAACCCUACAGGAUCUCCUCCAGGGCUCUGAGGCAGUUCACCAUCACCACCGGAUCUGGGUCCCUUAGCAGACUGUACAGCUCAUUCACCACCGCAGCAUCUGGACCCAUCAUGAACAAAAGAACUGGGCUGGAGAUUAUGCAGUUUGGCCCAGCCAAGCACAGCCACCCGCCGUACACAGGCUGCUCUGUCCCUGAGGCCUGCUGCCAGAGGCUGCUCCACAUACUCCACCAGACUAGAGCCAGGCUGCGAACCAUGGGAUUCGGAUCCUGGCAGUCUUUCCUCAGGGUGUUGAUGACCAGCAGAGACAACUCUGGGUUCAACGUGGCGUAGGAACACAGGAAGACAUAGACCAGUUUCUUCUGGACUAUGUCUACUGUGGCACAUGCUUUGACCAUUUCACUAAACACGCCUGACACAUCUACACCCUGAGACAUCAACCUGAGACAAAAAGGAGAGGGCAGAAAAACGUUACGUAUAUGAAAUUUUGCACAAAAGAAGGGGAAAGGACAGGAGGCAGAUAAGUGAAGAAUUUAACAGCAGAGAGAUUCCAAGAAGGAUAAGAGGGAAAUAAAGAGCAUGUAAGUUAAGAGGCCCACACAGAACAAAAGGAAGAUCUGGCGAAUUAUUGUUUAUUAUUAUUACUGUUAACACUGAAAGUGAAAUGUGGUGAAAGAAGAGGCGCAAAUGACAUGUUUGACAUGAAACAUAAACUUGGCAUGCUAAGAAUCAUAGAAACACUUGCCACUGUUAAAGGAAAGGAUCAACACUGUACAUGUACAUAAAAGAUAUGUGAGCAAUACGCUGCUUUCUAGAAUUAAUUGCAGAUAAGGUCCUUUAUCUAGAAACUGCAGGAGCUAACAGCAAACACAACCAGGUGUUUUUCUAAAGAUAAAUCCUUUGUACUUCAAGGAAACCAUGUUUCUAAGAGUUGCACAAACUUACUGUGGUGGAAACAAACCACAAGACACAUAAUUCAGUUUGUUUUUUUAGUCUAUGAUUUCUUAGGAUUCAUGUAGAGCACCGAGGAGGCUGUGUAACAUGAUACGACUGCUUUUUAGCGGAACUUCAAGAGAGCGAUUGCAUCAUCAAAUGGGUGUGAUUAAAAAUGCUUCACUAUA